AGAGGCUGUGGCUCAGUGACAAAGUAUCUGUUUUGCGUGGAGUAGAUCCUGGGUUCAAACCCCGGCAUUUCCA
rnacentral:tRNA from 1 species